AAGAGAAUGAUUAAACAAUUAAAAGCUUUCUUUAAUUGAAUAAUUGAAUUUAAUUUUUUAGUGCAAAAGCAAAAAUAAAAAUUAGGGACAAGAAGACCCUAUGAAUUUUUUAUUAAAUUUUAUAAAACUUUAUAUAAAAUUUAAUUUAAUUGGGGUGAUGGAAAAAGAAUAAAUAUCUUUUUUUUAAAAAAAAUUGGUUCCGUUUUUAGCGAUUAAAUGAAAAAAAUACUCUAGGGAUAACAGCGUAAUAAUUUUGGAUAGUUCAUAUAGAUAAAAUAGUUUGCGACCUCGAUGUUGGAUUAGGAUUCUUUUUUGGUGAAGAAGUUAAAAAAAGAAGUUUGUUCAACUUAUAAUUUCCU
rnacentral:rRNA from 1 species